GGGUAUAGUUCAGUGCUAGAGCACAUGCUUAACAUGCAUAAGGUCCUGGGUUUGAUCCCCAGUACCUCCA
rnacentral:tRNA from 1 species